CCCAGAGCAAGGGCCACACAGCAUGGACUGGACACAGUCAGACAAGAGCCACGGAGUGUCUGCCAGUGGCAGUGGGGACAUUAGGCACCACACUGUCCACCAGGACUGCUCAUCCGCACGGAGUGUCUGCGCGGUGGACCAGACCCGGUCUCCCUGCGGGCGCAUGAGGCCAGCAGCCCCCUGCAGACGAGGUUAUGUGGGAGAAUCUGACGUCCUGGGCAGUGCGGAAAACGUGCAGGUGCUCAGUCCUGUCCUGCAGAAACGCUGGGCUGGGAGCCCUGACGAAGCGGGUUUGAGGGCACAGCAGGGCGACUCCAGAGAGCAGCACACGGCACACACAGCCAGAGCUCGGAGAAGUCUGAAAACUUUCUCCAUGAAGAAAUUGUAAAUGUCUGGGGAGAUGGAUGUGCUUUCCCUGAUUUAAACACACACAAUGUAUACAUGCAUCAAACCAUUCUGCAGCACCCCAUGAAUAUGCAAUUUUUAUGUUUUUAUGUAUCAGUGAAACAGUAAAUAUAAAAAAUAUAAAAAACCAAACAUCGCCUACAAAAGGAAAGAAAUAUACUGUGAUAUAUGUUACAUCUACUUAUAUAUAAUUUUCAUUCACUGGUCGCUACAUCAAAACGUUGUAGUGAAAUUAAUUUUGAUAUACAUUGUUUUUAGUCUUAACGAGUUGGAAAUACCCUCUCUUAGCAUGCGGCUAAUAUUUAAGAAGCGCAG
rnacentral:lncRNA from 1 species